rnacentral:rRNA from 1 species
GACGAACGCUGGCGGCGUGCUUAACACAUGCAAGUCGAACGGAAAGGCCCUGCUUUUGUGGGGUGCUCGAGUGGCGAACGGGUGAGUAACACGUGAGUAACCUGCCCUUGACUUUGGGAUAACUUCAGGAAACUGGGGCUAAUACCGGAUAGGAGCUCCUGCUGCAUGGUGGGGGUUGGAAAGUUUCGGCGGUUGGGGAUGGACUCGCGGCUUAUCAGCUUGUUGGUGGGGUAGUGGCUUACCAAGGCUUUGACGGGUAGCCGGCCUGAGAGGGUGAUCGGCCACAUUGGGACUGAGAUACGGCCCAGACUCCUACGGGAGGCAGCAGUGGGGAAUAUUGCACAAUGGGCGGAAGCCCGAUGCAGCAAUGCCGCGUGCGGGAUGACGGCCUUCGGGUUGUAAACUGCUUUCGCCUGUGACGAAGCGUGAGUGACGGUAAUGGGUUAAAAAGCACCGGCUAACUACGUG